UGUCAGGACCGGAGACAUGGAGUCCCA
rnacentral:piRNA from 1 species